GCUGGGGUGGCGGAAUUGGCAUACGCGCACGUUUGAGGGGCGUGUUCCGCAAGGAAUGCGGGUUCAAGUCCCGCCCCCAGCA
rnacentral:tRNA from 1 species